GCAGGCCGUACGGGGGCCCGGGGGCCCGCCCCCGGUUCGGGAGGGGGCGGGGCGGGGAAAGGCUCCGCGCAGCGGUCCCGCACCGCCCGCCCGCA
rnacentral:tRNA from 1 species